UAAAUGACUCUCGGCAACGGAUAUCUCGGCUCACGCAUCGAUGAAGAACGUAGCAAAAUGCGAUACUUGGUGUGAAUUGCAGAAUCCCGUGAACCAUCGAGUUUUUGAACGCAAGUUGCGCUUGAAGCCUUUUGGCAGAGAGCACGCCUGCCUGGGCGUCACGC
rnacentral:rRNA from 1 species